UACAGAGGGGGCAAGCGUUGUUCGGAAUUACUGGGCGUAAAGGGCGCGUAGGCGGCCUGUUAAGUCGAACGUGAAAUCCCCGGGCUCAACCCGGGAACUGCGUCCGAUACUGGCAGGCUUGAAUUCGGGAGAGGGAUGUGGAAUUCCAGGUGUAGCGGUGAAAUGCGUAGAUAUCUGGAGGAACACCGGUGGCGAAGGCGGCAUCCUGGACCGAUAUUGACGCUCAGGCACGAAAGCGUGGGGAGCAAACAGG
rnacentral:rRNA from 1 species